UGUGUCAACGAGCGCUGACGAUGAGGAAAGGGAAGGGACGACGCGUAGCCUGAGCCUGGCUCUCCAAGGGUGUAUGGGGGUUUGGCUUGGGAAGGCGCGGUGCACUCUGCCCUCUCCUUAUCACCUAUAUGGAUGACCAUUUCAACCUCAUCGACUCACCCUGCUCAGUGAGACACAGAGGCAACAAAGCUGAGAAGCACGGUUACUCAGACACAGAAAAGGGCGUCAUGACAGUUGAGAAUAUGUUAGAGGAGUCUGGGGCGCUUUCGAGCCACCUGCCCGUAGAUCGAUAUGAGCAAGAGCGAGGCCGCGAGUGCUGCGAGAGAGUGGUUAUCAACAUUUCAGGUUUACGCUUCGAAACUCAACUGAAAACUUUCAAUCAGUUCCCCAAAACGUUGCUCGGAGACCCCAGAAAAAGAAUGCGUUUUUUUGACCCACUGAGGAACGAGUAUUUCUUCGACCGAAACCGACCCAGCUUUGAUGCCAUUCUCUAUUAUUACCAGUCAGGGGGGCGCAUAAGGAGACCUGUUAACGUUCCUAUUGACAUAUUUUCUGAGGAGAUCAACUUUUAUCAACUCGGGGAAGAGGCUAUGGAAAAAUUCAGAGAGGACGAAGGAUUCAUUAAAGAAGAGGAACGUAUUUUACCCAAUAAUGAAUUCCAAAAGCAGGUUUGGCUUUUGUUUGAGUACCCUGAAAGCUCAGGGCCAGCUAGGGGGAUUGCAAUAGUCUCUGUGCUGGUCAUUUUAAUCUCCAUUGUAAUAUUCUGUUUGGAGACGUUGCCUGAAUUUCGGGAUGACAGGGACCCUGUCACUGUGGCAUUUACUGUCAACGGGACGGCAUCUUACAGCGAAAAUCCAUUUACCGACCCUUUCUUUGUAAUAGAGACACUUUGUAUAAUAUGGUUUUCUUUUGAGUUGCUGGUUAGGUUCUUCGCUUGCCCCAGCAAAUCCACGUUCUCAAGAAACAUAAUGAACAUUAUCGAUAUUGUCGCCAUAUUUCCAUAUUUUAUCACUUUGGGGACAGAACUUGCAGAGAAGCAGGGUAACGGCCAACAAGCCAUGUCCCUGGCCAUUCUCAGAGUGAUAAGGCUCGUGAGAGUGUUUCGCAUCUUCAAGCUCUCCAGGCAUUCUAAGGGGCUACAGAUUUUAGGGCAGACACUAAAGGCCAGCAUGAGGGAGCUUGGGCUAUUGAUAUUUUUCCUUUUUAUUGGAGUUAUCCUUUUCUCCAGUGCUGUUUACUUUGCUGAGGCAGAUGACCCGUCAUCCAGUUUUACAAGCAUCCCAGAUGCGUUCUGGUGGGCUGUGGUCACCAUGACUACGGUUGGAUAUGGAGACAUGCAUCCAGUGACCAUUGGUGGCAAAAUUGUCGGGUCAUUGUGUGCUAUUGCCGGAGUGUUGACAAUUGCUCUCCCUGUACCCGUUAUUGUCUCCAACUUUAAUUACUUUUACCAUAGGGAAACGGAUGGAGAAGAGCACGCACAGUACUUGCAUGUCAGCAGCUGCGAGCACAUACCAUCAGCCACAGACGAGCUGAAAAGGACUCGUAGCACGUCAUCUCUUAGCAAGUCGGAAUAUAUGGUUAUAGAGGAGGGAAUAAACCGUGGGUAUAAACAGCCCAACUUCACCAAUGAGAAUAACCAAAACUGCGUGAACAUCAAAAAGAUAUUCACGGAUGUGUAAAUGCUUUAAUUUUUUAUGGAGCAUGAUGCCGAAGAUAAUACAGUUAGGCUACUGUUUUUUCUAUGAUAGCUAUCGUGAUGUGACGGUGCAUAGCCCAUCUGUCAGGUGGAGUGUGCACAACUAUAUUGUGCCACAAAGAUUGCCAACCGUACCGUGAUUGUACGAUUCGUCCUUGAGUCAAAACAUGAUAUUCGAUAGUUCGGUAGAUUGUAGGCCUAUACUGUAUGUGUUGCAUAUUUACCCUCAAAUUGAGUUGUGUUGUGUGAGGGGGGAAGUUCGCUUAUCAGUGUUCAGUCUUGUCAUGAAUAGCGGCAAUAUAAUCUAAUGUCUGUAUAAUCUCUGUUAAAUCGGACACUGCUACACAGAUACUUCUAAAGGAAUGGUACACAGACUAUACUUCAAUUUAAUGGAACGUUACACAGACUAAAUUGCCAACCUAAAGGAAAUUCCGUGGACAUAUCAUACAUAGCCUGUGGUCUACACUGAGAGCAGACUGAGAAUUGUUCAGUUUUCGUCACUACUGUUCGGAUACAAACGGGCAAAUUUUUCACAAUGUUAGCGUAGCCUAUACCAAAUUAAGCAAGAACAUGAAAGGAUUCAGAUUCGGACAUGUUUUUUAUAAAAUAAUUCGGACUUAGUGUGACUUUACUCAUUACAUGGGCUGAACAACUUUAUAUAGCCUUAGUUGUAUCCUGACCCAUGGUAAACGAUGUAUCAAAUUCAAAUUCCAGGAUUCUGGAGGAUUUAUAUAUCUAUAAAACAUGACUUCAAGAAAAGCUCCAGCAUAUGGGAUAGUGUGAGCACAACGACUUAGACAUUGACACAUGGUGCGCGUGGAUAGAAGAAUGAUGAACAGCAAGUCCCGGCCCCUCGAUCCUACUGAGCCCGCCUUUUGAUGCAGUCUCCAUGACGACUACAGUUUCCUGGGUAACCCCCGUUAAUGUUACCAUGGUAUCACUUUGCCUUUCCAGAUGGAUCACCAGCCUGCCUUUAAAGAAAGAGCCGUGAGCCCUCUUAUGGACUUAACAUGAUAAAUAGGUUAGGUUGUCUGAGAACACGUUGUCAUUUACAACAAGUACCAGAGGAAGUUACAGCGGAGGAGAGGAAUUAAUGAGAUGGAUAUUUUCAAUUGUCCGGAUCAGAUUAUUCCAGUCUUAACAAGCUAUCAAUCAUCACCCAACCAACACUGCAGAGG